AUUGAACGCUGGCGGCAGGCCUAACACAUGCAAGUCGAAUGGUAACAGGAAACAGCUUGCUGUUUCGCUGACGAGUGGCGGACGGGUGAGUAAUGUCUGGGAAACUGCCUGAUGGAGGGGGAUAACUACUGGAAACGGUAGCUAAUACCGCAUAACGUCGCAAGACCAAAGAGGGGGACCUUCGGGCCUCUUGCCAUCAGAUGUGCCCAGAUGGGAUUAGCUAGUAGGUGUGGUAACGGCUCACCUAGGCGACGAUCCCUAGCUGGUCUGAGAGGAUGACCAGCCACACUGGAACUGAGACACGGUCCAGACUCCUACGGGAGGCAGCAGUGGGGAAUAUUGCACAAUGGGCGCAAGCCUGAUGCAGCCAUGCCGCGUGUAUGAAGAAGGCCUUCGGGUUGUAAAGUACUUUCAGCGGGGAGGAAGGGAGUAAAGUUAAUACCUUUGCUCAUUGACGUUACCCGCAGAAGAAGCACCGGCUAACUCCGUG
rnacentral:rRNA from 1 species